CAGGCAGGAGCAGAGCCUGCCAGGCCUGCCCGCGGGAGGAGACGGUGGGCCCCUUACCAUUCACCACUAAGCCCGGAUCCAGACGCCUUUGUGCCAAGAACAAAACCCAGAGGAUCAGCUGUUCUCAGACCUGCCUCUCUCAGCUCCGGAAGGGACGAGAGCCUGGGCCUGAGGGUAGACUGUGCCCUCUCCAUGGGCCCUGGGAUGCCAGGGUGACCCCACAUCCUGGAAGCUCCCCACUACCCCAGGGUGUGGGGCUAUGGUGGGUGAGCAAAUCUGGGCUCAAAUCCCACAUCUUCCUCACCAUGAGACUUGGGAUCACUGUCCCCUCGGUACACGUGCCUUAGAUGCCACAGCCAAGAAGAGAGAUGCAGAGAAGGGACAUCACCAUGAUCUGGUAUCUCAUUGUCAAAGGACCCCACAACACGCCCCAGCCAGGGGCUCGAGGGCCUGACCUUUCGCCAGUCUUACUGCUCUCCUCACGUCUGGGUAGGAGCCUGGGAAGGGUUCGUUUUAUCCUCA